ACAGCAUAAGAGUUCAAAGAAGAUAUAAUUUUGUGAUGAAAAAUGUCAGAAUAAAUUUUGUUCAAUAAUCAAUAACUCAUAUAUAAAAAAAAACUCAAUCAUCAUAUGAUUGGUUUUAGGACACAAUUCUCAAUAACUCCCACUUAGACUAAAGUCAAUCGAGGCAGUAUCUUAUAUCCAUCUUCCAUUUGAAUUCAUCGAACUCUU
rnacentral:lncRNA from 1 species